AUGGCCGGCGGUGGCGACCACCCGGGCGCCAACAAGAGGAAUCGCGAGGUGGCGGGUUUGCCUAAGCGGUCCAAGCGGAAGAAGCCCUACGAAGACCCCGCGGUGCGCGGCAGCGGCGGCGCCAAAGGGAAGCAAAGCCCGUCACCGCCGAGGACAAUCGGGUCACAACCAAGGUUGUAUUGGCAAGAGCUGACAGAGGAGUUAAAGGAACACAUAUUUGACAAGAAAGUGGUUCACCGGCAUGGAAAAUUACAUCAACAAAAAGCCCUACACAAUCAGUAUGUGCUUUCCUUUCCUCUAUAA
rnacentral:rRNA from 1 species